GCUGGCGUAGCUCAGCUGGUAGAGCAGCUGACUUGUAAUCAGCAGGUCGACGGUUCGAUUCCGCCCGCCAGCU
rnacentral:tRNA from 1 species